AGAGUUUGAUCCUGGCUCAGGACGAACGCUGGCGGCGUGCCUAAUACAUGCAAGUCGAGCGGAAUGAUGAAGAAGCUUGCUUCUUCUGAUUUUAGCGGCGGACGGGUGAGUAACACGUGGGCAACCUACCUUGUAGAUUGGGAUAACUCCGGGAAACCGGGGCUAAUACCAAAUAAUCCAUUUUGCUUCAUGGCGAAAUGUUGAAAGGCGGCUUCGGCUGUCACUACGAGAUGGGCCCGCGGCGCAUUAGCUAGUUGGUAGGGUAACGGCCUACCAAGGCGACGAUGCGUAGCCGACCUGAGAGGGUGAUCGGCCACACUGGGACUGAGACACGGCCCAGACUCCUACGGGAGGCAGCAGUAGGGAAUCUUCCACAAUGGACGAAAGUCUGAUGGAGCAACGCCGCGUGAGUGAAGAAGGUUUUCGGAUCGUAAAACUCUGCUGUAAGGGAAGAACACGUACGAGAGUAACUGCUCGUACCUUGACGGUACCUUAUUAGAAAGCCACGGCUAACUACGUGCCAGCAGCCGCGGUAAU
rnacentral:rRNA from 1 species